rnacentral:rRNA from 1 species
UGGGGAAUAUUGCACAAUGGGCGCAAGCCUGAUGCAGCCAUGCCGCGUGUAUGAAGAAGGCCUUCGGGUUGUAAAGUACUUUCAGCCGGGAGGAAGGUGGUAAGGUUAAUAACCUUAUCAAUUGACGUUACCGACAGAAGAAGCACCGGCUAACUCCGUGCCAGCAGCCGCGGUAAUACGGAGGGUGCAAGCGUUAAUCGGAAUUACUGGGCGUAAAGCGCACGCAGGCGGUUGAUUGAGUCAGAUGUGAAAUCCCCGGGCUUAACCCGGGAAUUGCAUCUGAUACUGGUCAGCUAGAGUCUUGUAGAGGGGGGUAGAAUUCCAUGUGUAGCGGUGAAAUGCGUAGAGAUGUGGAGGAAUACCGGUGUCGAAGGCGGACCCCUGGACAAAGACUGACGCUCAGGUGCGAAAGCGUGGGGAGCAAACAGG